CGAUUAAUCCUAACAUCUUCAUUUACUCAUCGAUAGUUUGAGAAGCAAGUGUAUUCUUGUUUUCAUUAUUGAAUCUAAUGAUGGCGAUGUUCAAAUAUAUAUGUUUUUUUAUAUAUACUUUCUUACUCUACCAAGUGUUGGCCGAAUUCACUAGAUCAGAUUGUGACCAACCCCAUACAAAACCCGGAUAUGUCUGCGAGGCAUAUAUUAUUCGUUACUUCUGGAAUAAUGCUGAGAAGGGAUGCGAACAAUUUAUUUACGGUGGAUGCAAAGCAACCAAUAACAAUUUCGAAACUUUAGAUGACUGCAAUAAAAUUGCUGGAAAAAUAUGUCGCUCCUAAAUUGUUGUCAUACAGCCAAUCACAUGCAUCUAUUACUGAAUAAAUAUUAUUGUUAUUAUCAUUGUCACUA